AUUUAUCUCCUUUUUGUAAGAUACCUAUGGGCAUAAACCAGCUGUUGCUGUAAGGAAGGAGAAAAGAAAUUGAAAAGGCCCUGAGAAUGUGGUGCAGGAGUUGAAAGUGGGGAUUAGAAAUUUCUGAUCAGUUUGUUCUGACUUUGGCUGAAGGAAACUCUGAUGGUGGUGUUCUUUUGGAUUGUGGUUGAAGAAAACCUGUUUUACGUCAGCCUUUAAAGAUGACUCAUAAAUGGUCAUCCCUCUCCCAGCACCCAACCCAAAACAAGUCUUUAUUUUUUUACCAGUAGAAAUUCAGGACUUGCCUAGUCUAAAAGACUUCAAAGCUGUGCCUGCACUAGUCCAUUCCCCUUAUAUGCAACUGCAACAAUGGAAAAAUGCAUAUUACACUCUCACUGUUGCCCCACCAGUGCUGCUGAGUCCUUCCAUUGGUCUGACCUGGAAUUAAGACACCAGGCUUCUCAGAGGCCUGCUCCUGUGUGAUGCUGAGCUCCCACACUGAUGUCCGUGAAAGCAAAAGGUGAUAGCACCAGGCACUAGCACAUCUUGAGCAUUCAGUCUGAAAUUUUCUAUGAAUGCUCUCUGAGGCUGAGAUUUAAAAGAAUAAUUGAAGAGGCCCGAACCAUUUAUGAUCAAGACAGAGGCUAGGAACAACAGGUCUCACUGCUACUGCACCAGCUGAGGAGCAGCAAACUGGGGAAAUGGACAUGUCCACCUGCUGUCUGAUGUUCCUUCAAGAGCUGCUCUUGACAGUUAAUCCAAAAUAUUCAACCUGUUGGAAACAGCCCCAGGGUUAAAAUAUUCAAAAGUAGGCAGGUACCCUCUUAUUGGAACACACCAAGCUUCACUGGACCCACUCUUCCCCAUUGCUAUUCACUACCUAGAUACAAAGGACCAAAUUCUUCUCACUGCUGCUACAACUCAUUUGGCAUCAAUGUGGUUGCAGCAAUGUGUGUGCGUGAGAGAGAGAGUAAAAACUCAGGCUCUAAAUAUAACUUCCCAACUAAUGAAUGUAUUUUCUCCUUCUCCUCCUCUGAACUGUUUUUUCUGCGGCUUGCAUGAUCGCUUGCUAAAUAUAUUACCGUGUGCCAUUUGUCUCAGCCUACAGAUGCAAGACCCCUGCAUGGUUCAUAGGUCCACCAUUAGGGAUUUCCCUUGUACUUUGCAGAGUCACUGGCAUCUGUGCAAAGCAACUAUAGAACAUUAUCAGAUUGGAAUUCUGCAGUCUCAGUAGUGGUGUUACAUCCAUGUUACACAGGUGUAAAUGACCACAUGAGGUGCAAGGCACUGGAGAAUGGGCCCCAAGCUACUUAUCCUACAUAAAUCACUGGCUAUUUAUUGCAUUAGCAGGGCCCCUGUCAAUAACUCUUUCCCUCAGUAGAGGGAGUUGUUUCUCAAUGUAAUGAGAGAGCAUCAUCUGAUUGCAUUUUCUUUGUCAGGACUGUCUUAUUUAUUACCUUUACCUGUAAUCUAAUUUGUACUGUAUUUCCCUUGCUAUUCUAUAUUGUUAAACUUUUUAUUGAAAAGUUUGUACUGUAAAAAGGACAAGAUUUUAAUCCACAAGUGAGUUGUCCUGCUCAAGUUCCUUCUGCAUUUUUUUAACCUUUUGACCCACUGUGAAGUCUUCUAGAAAAAUGUUGAUGACCAGGUGGGAACAAAAAUAUUAGUCAAUUAAAAACUGCAAUAGCGGUGUUGCCCUGACAACACCAGAGGACCUAUGCCCAUACCAAAGUAAAUGGUAGUUUGUAUGGUGGUACUGUAUCAGAGCUCCAAUGUGCCAGACCCUGUA